GCGAUGUCAAUUUUGAGAUGGGUUUGUUUUGAUUUUAUUUGUCAAAUUCGAGAUCACUGAACCGAACUUCAUUUUGCUUGGCAACUUUGCCGAAAUCUGAGAAGUGCCAGUUUUGGACUUAGCGUUUUCACAGUUUUACAGAAUUAUUUGUGGCGUGCCGUGUCGGAGAGGAACCAGACACCAAGGAGCAGUAAUAGGAAUUUCCACGGGGCGUUGCCAGAUCUUGAUCCUCGACGAUGGUCCACUCGGAAAUGACCGUCCCGCCGGAACCAUCUCCAUUCCCUCGGAGUGGCCUGCUGGUAUAAGUAGGACGGUGACUGUUUAAG
rnacentral:lncRNA from 1 species